GCCCGCCUCGACCCGCGGUCCGAGUCCCCGCGUGACUGCGCCGGACCCCGGCUGGGGGUCCUCGCGGGGGAAGGGCCAGUCCGGACGGUGGAGUUUGGGGGCCCCGCCCUGGAUCCGAAUCAAAAGUGGCGCCUGAGCGUUGGCCCUAACCUGGCGCGGUGCCAGGUGUUGGCUUGAGUUGCGGUAAUGCCGGCGGGGGAGACAGCGGAGGAGGGCCGGGCAGGCAGGGGCCAGGCGUUCCUUUUCCACUCCGGAGCUCAAGGUGGCUCUCCCGGGGUCUUGCUUCGUUUGAUCCCCGUACCAGUCCUGCGAGCGCGACUGCGCAAAGUCACCCGGAAGCCCCCUGACUGGGGGUGGGCUCGCGCUGUCUCUCGGGCCCUCUGCAAAUCCCUCACGGCCCCGCUCUUGGCCCUCGUUCUGGGCGGGGGAUGCUGCUCCGCCGCGCACCAGGUGGGUGCGAGCAAGGCACCCGCUCGUCCCGCCGAGGGACUUGGACGGACUUUCCAGCGGGAGGUGUCUGCACAGCCAUUACCACGCACUCAGUUGAGUAAGGUUUAAGCCUCUGGCCUCCAGUGUUACGGCUGCAAUGUGAUGGUGGGCAGCAGGUCGGUCAACACGGGUUGCUCCAGUCCAGAAGUGAUCACCUGCCCCCGUUCCCACCAAGGGUUCAAGCACCGGUUUUGCAUCAAGAUAGAAAGUGGAUGAAGAUCUCAGAAUCAUAGAAUUUGGUGCAGGAAUCCACUGAUACCCUCUACUGGUGCCUUUCCACCUGCGAAUGCCUCCAGCUGAGGGGAGGUCUCUGCAUCCUGAGUCACCUGCUCUCCUCGUGAACUGCUCUCGCCCUUGGGAAACCCUUCCUGAUGCCCCACUGGAAGCUCAUUUCUGGUCCUUUCAACGGCUCUUCCUUGUCCCAUCUCCUGGAAUGCCUCUGAAGAAUCCUGCCCCCCCCUUCUGCCACAGACGGAAUCCGGCUGUCCGUUCCCAAGGCCGGAUGGAGCCAGAUGUGCAGCCCGGAGCCCUUCUGUGGCUGAUGGUGCUUUGCGGUGCUUCCUGAACAGCCUUUGCCGAAUUGAACAUCCAGCGUUCAACCUUGGUUUUCAUUCCACGUUUUCAGCUCUGCUUUUUGCAAACGGCUGUUGCACUUGGUCAGUCGAUCAGCAGGUGACUUCCUCUCAUCCAUUUACAGAGCUGCAGUAUCUGUCUUGCACACUUUAGCCUCACGGGGUCACUGCUGCUUGUGCAAAGGCACGCCCUUUUCCAGAUGCCAAAGCCAUCCGUCUGGUAAGGCCUCUGGCAGGUGAAGAAGCAAGGGUCUCCCCCAGCUCUUUAGCCCCUGCCCUCUGCAGCACUUUCUGCUCCACGCCCUGGACCUUCCAACGGCUGUUGCCCGGCCGGCCAGCCGGCCGACCAUUUCACUGCUUCCACCCCUCUCCUCCUCCGGCUCCCCAAGUGCAACUUUGCUAGUGCAUUUCAGGGUAAAUGGGUGGAAAAUGCAAGAAAACGGGAUCUGGUGAGGACAGGGUGGGUGACGCUUCAAAUGUGCUCUUGCCAACUCUGUCCCGGCCGACAGCCAAGAAGGUGACACUUUUCCCUCCAAAGUCCAGUGGUUGAAAUGUUCUUUGGUUUCCACCACGCUUCCAGUAACUCCUGGGUGAGGCCUUAACAUCUGCCCCCCCCCCCCCGCAGAUAAGAGCGAGGAGGGCCUGGGCAGCAGGUCUCCUCCCCGGGGGGGUCUCCACUCCACCCUCUCCUGGGCAGGAGCUCCUGGUGGCGGGGAAAAGAGGCCCCAGAAGACUCUGUUGCAAUUCCACCCUUGCAUCUGCCAGUGUGAGGUGGGCUCUCAAAAAUUAUUUUCCUAACUCCUGUACCAAAGACACCAUUUUUCUGUCUGAAAUCUGUAGCAACAUUUCCCCCACGCCCCUGCAAGAUUUGCAUUUCAACGUAUACCUGUGCUGUCAUUCAGAGAACCUUGUGGGUCUCUACACACACACACACACACACACACACAAACACACACCAUAAGGGAAGGGAAGGGAGCCAUGGAGAGGCUGUUCCGAACAGUUCUGUUCUCAGUGCUUUCCACACAUUCCCUCCUGUGAGGGCUGCCACUUUCAGCCCCACUUCUCUCCAACAAGGAGCGUUGCUCUGAUUCUUGCUGAUUCAGUCUGCUGGCUUUCCCAGCCAGGGACCCUGAGACAUUGAGCCAUUCCGCUGCCCACCACGGAAGACCUGGGCUGGGAGCACCCCAGCAGCUUCCUGGAAGAGUCCUGUGGAGCCUCUGGAAAUGGCAGAUCUGGGGCUGAGAGUUUCCGAUUUGAACUCCCCGCAGGUUCGCUUUCCCCGGCAGAGACUGCGCAGAAAGAGGUGGGAGCCCAGGCCGUGCGCACAAGCGCUCUUUCUGGAGCAGCCCAUUCUGCCUUUGGGGUGCCGGUACAGCUGUGGCGUUUGCUCGCACUGUAGGGAGAGUAAGGGCUCAGGGCCUUUGAGGUGCACGGGAUGCGCUUUCUGAAAAAAGUCUCCAGCUGCUGAGAUGCUGGAGCUCCGUGCUUUGGGCAAAGAGAGAGGCCGAGGUCUGCUCCAGCAAAAUCAGCAAGCAGAGACAGACGAUUCCUUGGGUUGCAACUUUCUGGCAUAAGGCAGAAAGGCAUCUGACUUUUUGCCUUCAUCAUGUAUUUUGCCACAUAUUUUUGGAAUGGGGACUGCCUACCUUGAAAAAACAUUUCCCCUUUUUUCUGUCCAAGAGCACCCAAAAAAGUAGACACAGCUGGGUGGAACUCAGAUGCUAAUUGACCGUAGGAAUGGCAAAAGAGAUGCUCUGAGAUGUUUGUUUUAUGCUCCUUUAUUGAAGUCUUUAUUUUAUGCCGUUUGCUGCUUUUACAGCGAAGCUGCUUCUCCCUGAAACUUGGUCUGAUGACACGUCAUCUUUUCCUGAUGUGGCAGAACUUUAUUAUGGAUUUCCAUUUCGGAUUGUCUUCCAGAGCACAGGAUAGGAUUUCCUAACACACCUCCCUAUUUUCCAAAGCUUCGCCAGGCCUGCUUCCAAGACAUUUUCACCGUUAUAGACUAAUGCCAAUAUUUACAGGGCCUGCCUAUUUUUUGCACGUCCAGAGCUUGCCCAGAAUGCCAACUGUGCUGCUUCCAAGCUGGCCAAUGGUUGAAUAUCCUCCCCGCUGAGCUUCCACAAAUUAAGAACAAUUCCUCCAUCCCCAGUCUACAAAAAGAAAAGAAGAUGCUGCUUGAGGGAGUUUGGCUGUGAACAGGGCGGCCCCUCCCACAGGGAUGCGAGAGCCAGUCUGGCCUAGCAAUGAAGGCCCCCGGCUAGAAAGCAGGAGGCGGUGAGGGAUGAAAGCCGGCCAGGGGGCUUUGGGCCAGCCCAAGGAUGCACUGGGGGAUUUUCUGCCCAGUCCCAGUGGAUCUGGCUCGUUUUCUUGCUCAAAUGUUCUUUCCCAGCUUCUCUUUGCACACCAAACUGGGUCCCGUUCUCCUGCUGACGGCCAGACAGGGUGCCAGACGGCUGUACUCUGAGCCCCAUUUCUUCAUUCUUCUAAGUUGCCAGUGGUUUGGAAAGCAGGAAAGAGGGAAAGAAGCUGCUGAAGAGCCCCUGAAACUGGUCCAAAUGUCUGCGUGGUUGGCAUGGCAGCCAGCCUGCAUUGGCAGCCAGCAGCGUGGGCAGCAAGGUCACUGGCCUGUCUUUCUGAACGGAGGUGGACACCUUCCACC